rnacentral:rRNA from 1 species
GGAUUGCCCUAGUAACGGCGAGUGAAGCGGCAACAGCUCAAAUUUGAAAUCUGGCUCUCUUUGGGGGUUCCGAGUUGUAAUUUGCAGAGGAUGCUUUGGCAUUGGCGGCGGUCUAAGUUCCUUGGAACAGGACAUCACAGAGGGUGAGAAUCCCGUACGUGGUCGCCUGCCUUUGCCGUGUAAAGCUCCUUCGACGAGUCGAGUUGUUUGGGAAUGCAGCUCUAAAUGGGAGGUAAAUUUCUUCUAAAGCUAAAUACUGGCCAGAGACCGAUAGCGCACAAGUAGAGUGAUCGAAAGAUGAAAAGUACUUUGGAAAGAGAGUCAAAAAGCACGUGAAAUUGUUGAAAGGGAAGCGCUUGCAGCCAGACUUGCCCGCAGUUGCUCACCUAGGCUUUGGCCUGGGGCACUCUUCUGCGGGCAGGCCAGCAUCAGUUUGGGCGGUUGGAUAAAGGCCUCUGUCACGUAUCUCCCUUCGGGGUGACCUUAUAGGGGAGGCGCAAUGCAACCAGCCCGGACUGAGGUCCGCGCAUCUGCUAGGAUGCUGGCGUAAUGGCUGUAAGCGGCCCGUCUUGAAACACGGACCAAGGAGUCUAACAUCUAUGCGAGUGUUUGGGUGUCAAGCCCGAGCGCGCAAUGAAAGUGAACGGAGGUGGGAACCCUUUGGGUGCACCAUCGACCGAUCCUGAUGUCUUCGGAUGGAUUUGAGUAAGAGCAUAGCUGUUGGGACCCGAAAGAUGGUGAACUAUGCUUGAAUAGGGUGAAGCCAGAGGAAACUCUGGUGGAGGCUCGCAGCGGUUCUGACGUGCAAAUCGAUCGUCAAAUUUGGGCAUAGGGGCGAAAGACUAAUCGAACCAUCUAUAACUGGGUU